GCCGGGAUAUCUCAGUUGGUAUANCAAAGGACUGAAAAUCCUCGUGUC
rnacentral:tRNA from 1 species